AUUGAACGCUGGCGGCAUGCUUUACACAUGCAAGUCGGACGGCAGCACAGAGAAGCUUGCUUCUUGGGUGGCGAGUGGCGAACGGGUGAGUAACAUAUCGGAACGUACCGAGCAGUGGGGGAUAACUAAUCGAAAGAUUAGCUAAUACCGCAUAUAUUCUGAGGAAGAGAGCAGGGGACCAUUUGGCCUUGCGCUGUUUGAGCGGCCGAUAUCUGAUUAGCUAGUUGGUGGGGUAAAGGCCUACCAAGGCGACGAUCAGUAGCGGGUCUGAGAGGAUGAUCCGCCACACUGGGACUGAGACACGGCCCAGACUCCUACGGGAGGCAGCAGUGGGGAAUUUUGGACAAUGGGCGCAAGCCUGAUCCAGCCAUGCCGCGUGUCUGAAGAAGGCCUUCGGGUUGUAAAGGACUUUUGUCAGGGAAGAAAAGGGCGGGGUUAAUACCCCUGUCUGAUGACGGUACCUGAAGAAUAAGCACCGGCUAACUACGUGCCAGCCGCCGCGGUAAUAC
rnacentral:rRNA from 1 species